rnacentral:rRNA from 1 species
AACGUAGGUCACAAGCGUUGUCCGGAAUUACUGGGUGUAAAGGGAGCGCAGGCGGGCGAUCAAGUUGGAAGUGAAAUCCAUGGGCUCAACCCAUGAACUGCUUUCAAAACUGGUCGUCUUGAGUAGUGCAGAGGUAGGCGGAAUUCCCGGUGUAGCGGUGGAAUGCGUAGAUAUCGGGAGGAACACCAGUGGCGAAGGCGGCCUACUGGGCACUAACUGACGCUGAGGCUCGAAAGUGUGGGUAGCAAACAGG